ANAGUUUGAUUAUGGCUCAGAAUGAACGCUAGCGGCAGGCCUAACACAUGCAAGUCGAGGGGUAACAGAGAGUGCUUGCACUUUGCUGACGACCGGCGCACGGGUGCGUAACGCGUAUACAAUCUACCUUGUACUGGGGGAUAGCCUUUAGAAAUGAAGAUUAACACCCCAUAGUAUGUCGACCUCGCAUGGGGAUGACAUUAAAGGUUACGGUACAAGAUGAGUAUGCGUCCUAUUAGCUAGAUGGUGUGGUAACGGCACACCAUGGCAACGAUAGGUAGGGGCCCUGAGAGGGGGAUCCCCCACACUGGUACUGAGACACGGACCAGACUCCUACGGGAGGCAGCAGUGAGGAAUAUUGGACAAUGGAGGCAACUCUGAUCCAGCCAUGCCGCGUGCAGGAAGACUGCCCUAUGGGUUGUAAACUGCUUUUAUACAGGAAGAAACCGCUCUACGUGUAGAGCUCCGACGGUACUGUAAGAAUAAGGAUCGGCUAACUCCGUGCCAGCAGCCGCGGUAAUACGGAGGAUCCAAGCGUUAUCCGGAAUCAUUGGGUUUAAAGGGUCCGUAGGUGGAUAAUUAAGUCAGAGGUGAAAGUUUGCAGCUUAACUGUAAAAUUGCCUUUGAUACUGGUUAUCUUGAAUCAUUGUGAAGUGGUUAGAAUAUGUAGUGUAGCGGUGAAAUGCAUAGAUAUUACAUAGAAUACCAAUUGCGAAGGCAGAUCACUAACAAUGUAUUGACACUGAUGGACGAAAGCGUAGGUAGCGAACGGGAUUAGAUA
rnacentral:rRNA from 1 species